CAGCAGUAUUCUUUAACCAGUGAAAAGUAAAAACACGAGGCUCAAUUGGCGUGUUUCUUGAAGCCUUCCUGUGAACUUCAGUGAAAGCCCAGUAGACCCCUUCCCAUCUCACGACCUUUUUCUUUACGUGUUCAAUUGAUUUGCUACUUGCUAUAGUUUACUUUGACGGCUUUGAUCAUUCAAAAAAGUGGGCUGCACUGCAUAAGUACAUGUAUAUAAGCUGGUAAAUUGAAGCGUCGAAACCAUGCAUUAAGUUGCUGAGGGGCUCUGUGACUUUGAAGCUCGCUAAAGAAGAGAAAGAGGAGCCAGGAAUAGAGAAGCUAUAGGCUGAAUCUUUGUAUUUCAAGGGUUCGGUUUGUUUCGAGGCAUAACAGAUGGGACUUUGUCUUUCAAUAAUUUUGUCAGCUUGGAAUGAGAUACUGGAACACAAGAUAUUCGGUUUAUUUAACAAAGCAGAAACAGUUGUGAGAUCUGUGAGCUUUGGGAGAAGAGAAGGAGAACUGGUCUUCAGAACAUUUAGCUUUAAGAAAAAAGAAUUAGAAACUAUUCACAAGUUUGAUGAGUCAAAAGUAAGCCCGAGGGUUGAUACACAAAAGCUGAAGACUGUUGGUCCAACGAAGGAUUUAGUUGUCGAUAAGGAAUCCAGGAAUUCGCUGUGUAGAGAUAAUGAUCAAGAAGCUGUUAAUAAGUCUAAGCUUGAAGUUCUGAUUCCAGCGCCCGUUGUGGUAUCUUCUCCACGACCUAUUACUAAGCUUGAUGAUGCAGCAACUAAGCUUCAGAAAGUCUAUAAAAGUUACCGCACAAGAAGGAAUCUUGCAGAUUGUGCAGUUGUUGCUGAAGAACUCUGGUGGAAGGCCUUGGAUUUUGCAACUCUAGAGCGAAAUUCCGUAUCAUUCUUUGACAUUACCAAACAUGAAACUGCUGUCGCACGGUGGGCACGUGGCAGGACAAAGGCUGCCAAGGUAGGAAAAGGUUUACUAAAGGAUGAAAAAGCUCAGAAGUUAGCUCUACAGCAUUGGCUUGAAGCUAUUGAUCCCCGGCAUAGGUACGGACACAACUUGCACUUCUAUUAUGAUGCAUGGUCUGAAAGCAGAAGCUCUCAACCCUUUUUCUACUGGUUGGACGUUGGUGGUGGCAAAGAACUGAAUCUUCCAAGCUGUCCAAGAGUUAACAUGCAACGCCAAUUUAUUAAAUAUCUUGGACCUAAAGAGAGGGAAGCCUAUGAAGUAAUUGUGGAGGAUGGGAAGUUAGCGUACAAGCAAACUGGCAUGCUUCUGGAUACAAAUGACCGUUCAAAGUGGAUUUUUGUUCUCAGCACAUCAAGGUCCCUAUACGUAGGACAGAAGCAGAAGGGUGCUUUUCAACAUUCCAGUUUUCUAUCUGGAGGAGCUACAACAGCAGCGGGUAGACUCGUUGCUCAUGAUGGGAUUCUUGAAGUAUGCAUUCUUUUAGGCGCAUGAAAAAGAUACACAUUGUUACAUACACAUUGCAUUGCCUUUAUUUAAGCUUUAAUUUUUCUCAUUUUCUUCAGGCAAUAUGGCCAUACAGUGGUCACUAUCUUCCAACAGAAGACAAUUUCAAGGAAUUCAUAAGCUUUCUUGAGGAGCACCAUGUAGACUUGAGCAAUGUCAAGCGCUACACAGUUGAUGAUGCUAGGACCUCAUUUCAAGAGGUUGAUGAGGAAUCCAAAUCUAAGAAAGAGAAGUUACAAGAUCUUUCCACAACUGCAACAGCUAUGGAUGCAAUUGCUACCGAUUCUGAUGGUCCCUGC